CGGAGGAUCCAAGCGUUAUCCGGAUUCAUUGGGUUUAAAGGGUGCGUAGGCGGAAUGAUAAGUCAGUGGUGAAAUCUCGGAGCUUAACUCCGAAACUGCCAUUGAUACUGUCAAUCUUGAGUACAUUUGAUGAGGGCGGAAUGUGUCACGUAGCGGUGAAAUGCUUAGAUAUGACACAGAACACCGAUUGCGAAGGCAGCUCUCAAAACUGUAACUGACGCUGAGGCACGAAAGCGUGGGUAUCAAACAGGAUUAGAUACCCUGGUAGUCCACGCUGUAAACUAUGAUUACUCGAUGUUUGCGAUAUACUGUAAGCGUCUAAGCGAAAGCGAUAAGUAAUCCACCUGGGGAGUACGCUCGCAAGAGUG
rnacentral:rRNA from 1 species